GAAAGGAGGGAGAGGAGGAAUGGGGGGAGAGGAGGAAGAGAGGGAGAGGAGAAGAGAGGGAGAGGAAAGGAGGGAGAGGAGGAAGAGAGGGAGAGGAGGGAGAGAGGGAGAGGAGGAAGAGAGGGAGAGGAGGAAAGGAGGGAGAGGAGGAAGAGAGGGAGAGGAGGAAGAGAGGGAGAGGAGGAAAGGAGGUAGAAGAGGAAAGGAGGUAGAGGAGGAAGAGAGGGAGAGGAGGAAGAGAGGGAGAGGAGGAAGGGAGGGAGAGGAGGAAAGGAGGGAGAGGAGGAAGAGAGGGAGAGGAGGAAAGGAGGGAGAGAGGGAGAGGAGGAAAGGAGGUAGAGGAGGAAAGUAGGUAGAGGAGGAAGAGAGGGGGAGGAAAGGAGGGAGAGGAGGAAGAGAGGGAGAGGCAAAGAAGGAAUGAGAGGAGUAAAGAGAGGGAGAGGAGGUGAGGAGGAGAGGAAGGACAGGAGGAAGAGAGGGAGAAGAGUAAAAGAGGGAGAGGAGGAAAGGAAGGAGAGGAGGUAGAGAGGGAGAGGAAAGCAGGGAGAGGAGGAAGAGAGGGAGAGGAGGCAGAGAGGGAGAGGAGGAAAGGAAGGAGAGGAGGAAGAGAGGGAGAGGAGGAAGGGAGGGAGAGGAGGAAAGGAGGGAGAGGAGGAAGAGCGGGAGAGGAGGUAAGGAGGGAGAGGAGGAAGAGAGGGAUAGGAGGAAAGGAGGGAGAGGAUGGAGAGAGGGAGAGGAGGAAAGGAGGUAGAGGACGAAAGGAGAUAGAGGAGGCAGAGAGAGAGAGGAGGAAAGGAGGGAGAGGAGGUAGAGAGGGAGAGCAAAGCAGGGAGAGGAGGAAGAGAGGGAGAGGAGGAAGAGAGGGAGAGGAGAAAAGGAGGGAGAGGAGGAAGAGAG
ensembl:lncRNA